rnacentral:lncRNA from 1 species
CUUGACCUCCCUAAGUGCUGGGAAAAAGAGCCAAUGUGCCUCACCUCAUGUGCUGUUUUCAUUUACCAGGAAAAGCGGGAUUUGGUGUGGAACUCGGAACUUACUUGUCAGGCACUAUCUACAACACCCAUCACCAGCAGGGUAGGUGUUCCUGGUGUAGGAGAGGGCACUGUGAAGGGAGGCAACAUGCCAUUACAGUGGUCAGCCAGAAGGAUCCCAUGAAGGAAUAUGAUGAGAGUCAUUCCUGCCCAGUCCUCACCAGGGACAGGUGCAGCUGCCAAUAGAGGCCCAUUCAUCUUUAGGAGGCUAUAGUCAUCACAUUUAUUCAGUAGCAAAUAUGGAUUGUUAGGCUAAACAGACCAUAAUUUAGAACGGCAGUCUCUUAAUUGUGCCAUUGGUAUUCAUCACUGUAAUAAAAUUGUCUAAUUGAAAAAGCUAUAUUGACAAACCAACAAGCAGUACAUUGAUUUAGUAGCAGUUUUGAAUUAUUAAGUCUGCAAUGUUUUAUUCCAUAGAACGUUUAUAUUUUUCAUUAGAUAGGUCUUCUCUUAAAAGGGGCUGAGGGGUUAUUUUGGAAAACUCUUCAGACUGAAGUAAGGAUUGCUUCAAGUAUGGGAAGAUUUGUGGAUUCUGAAAAGCCAUUUGGUUUUCUGUAUGUACUGGAUGUGCGUAUGUGUGUGUGUGUGUAUUUGUGUAGACUAAUUUCCCUAGAUGAUCUGAGCCAAAAAUGAAAAUUUAAAGUUUGUUCUACUAGUCCUGUGAACUGAGGUCACCAAUUGGGAAAGAAAGGAUGAGGAGUCAAUGUACAAGCCCACCUACCUGGUUGCACUGACCCAUGCAGAAAGAACAGCCACUGUGGUAGUGAGCAAGGGCUCUGCGGUGACAGUCUACAGCACAUGAUGGGGACCACAGCAAGUACUCAAUGGGACUGGUGUAUUGUUUAUAUGAUUGAAAGGGGUGCUGUGUUAUUUAGAAAUAGUAUUUACCUGCAUGUAGCAAAGACCUGGAAAAUAAUGGGUUAAUUCUCCCAUAUAAUGAAAGUCAAGCUGUAGGUAGUCUAAAGUUGCAUAGUGUCUCUCCAUGAUUCAGGCUCCAUUCUUUUUUCUCCACUACCCCUAUCCUCAAGAUGAUUUCAUGGUUCAUGAUGACUGCAAGGACCUUGCCAUCAAACCACUGAGAAGGUUUGAAGAAGGAAUAAAGAUAGAAGGGUGGAAAGUGGCACAUCUUCCAAAAGCCAAUCACUGAGACAACAAGCACUGCCAGGGAAGAAACUUUCAUCAAGGUGCUGCAGCCAAGGAGAAGGGGAGGCUUUUCCUUAGGUUUUGCCGUGGAGUCCUUUUUUCCCUUCCUUUCUUUCCCCAGUGUACACUCGAAGGUUUGCAAUGCUUCACGCUUGAAGACUUGAGAAAAACUGAGUCAAUUCAAUCUGACCGACUUCAUAGUCACUGGCUUCAUGUGCAUUUGCUUGCUGUGAAAAGAAAAGCAUGUGAAGAAAAAUAUAUUGCCACUGAAUGAAUGGAUCUGUCUCAAAUAUAAUUGCUCAUUUUUACCUGUCCCUUAUGUACAAACUCUUUCCAGCCACAGCUCUUCCGAAUGGGCCGCACCCUCCAGGCCACUUCAGUGCUACACGCGGCCACACCAGCAACAUUUUGCCAAUGCCAGUGUCCUGGGUCUCUUCUCGAUUCCCUGAGAUUCCUGGAGCUGCUCACAAGGCUUGAGGCCCUGGGCUCUUGGCAGCUGAAACAAAACCUGAGAGAAACUCACUGGGUUUUGCAAUCAAUGUGCUGAAACAUCUCCAGCAAGGAGCCACAUCAUCCCAUUUCUGGUCACGCAGAUGCUGGAGCUACUGGGCUCCUGCCCCGGGUUGAUGGUCUUAGAGAACUUGAGAUCAGAUUCUGGUCCAGAGGGAAGAGCAGAUUCAGUUUCCUGAGAAGAAACCAGGAAGCAGUGGCUAGCCUCAUAUUUUCUGGAGCAAUCCUGCUUUUGAGCAUUCUUAUUUUGUGGUCUACAAGAAUUAUUUUGUCCAUAUUAGAGCAUGUGGCAGGGUGGGCAUGGGGAGGUGGAGAGGUUGGGGAAGAUGUAGGUGUAGCAACUGACAGAAACUGAUGUUGGGGAACUGUUCUGGGGAGGCCACUGUCACUAUCAGGAUACUGUGUUAUUAAGAGGGCCACUGACAGGAACGGAAGUUAAGUCUGGUUUAUCUGUUUAGCCCAUUCUCAGUCUUGUCAGCUAAACAGAAAUCAGGGCUCUGGUGUGUUGGUGGAGGAAGAAGAAUGGGAGGAUCUGGAGCUGGCAAUACACAUGAGGGCCUGAAGCUUUGGCAGCAUUGCAAUGGGUGUGAUGCAGAACCAGAGGCUUUCAGGUGGCACUGGGGAGCUGGGAUGGAGGUUAAGGGAGAAAGGAAGACCCAACAAAAGGAACGAGUAGGAGAAACUUUGCCUAUUCCACUGUUUUGUUUAGGCCAACCUUAAUCCCUGGGAUUUAACUUCUGAAUAAUGAGUUUAAAAAGAACAAAUAAUAUAUGAAGAUACUGAUGCCAAUGAUGUGGCACAUUGCUAGGGCCUUGGGUCAGUUCCUAGCAGUUUUGCUAGCAUGCAUGUUAGCAGGUGACAGGAUAACCACCGUGACCCCAGAGGGUUUUGACAAUCUGGACCUAAUCUGUCUUUCUCAAUUCAUCUUUGUUUACUUUCCCAUCAACCCAUGCUCUUGUCUUUCUGAAUUCUUCCCCAUUGCCAGACACCCUGCAUUUAUACCGCUGUGCUGGGAGUAUUCUCACUGCUUGGUAGACAACCAUUUCUCUCUAUUCUCUGGAAAAUUCUUAUUAUCUAUUCUUCACAUUCCCUUUUGAGUUCCUUUUAUAUGAUCUUUUCUAGCUCUCUAGAUAAAAUUAAUCUUAUCCCUCUCUGAACUUUUGUUUUUAUUAUAUUAUAACAUAUGUAGAAUUAUAACUCUUUCAUCCUUGGUGUCUCUCUGCUAGAUCAUGUAUGCUUUAAGGGAGGAGACCAAAGUUAAAUCGAGUUGCCUUGCCUAGCAUUAAACUAAAUGAAUGUCUGAGAUAUGCGGUACUCUCUCAGUAUUUGGUAGGUGUUUCUAAAAGGGAAAGAGAAUGGGAGUAGAGAAGCUCUGUCUCUGCUAUCAGUGUUAUGUGUUGGUAUAAACAUGUGUUCAUUUAAACACACACACACACACACACACACACAGAAAUAUAGAAGUAUUAAUACUUACUCUGUGCCAGUUCCUGUGCUAAGAAAUUGUACAUGGAUGUUUGUAUUUAAUCCUCACAAGGGUCUCUAAUGCAGAUAACGGUAUUAUCUCUAUUUUAGAAGUGAGGAAAUAGAAACAAGUAAGGGUUUAAGUGAUUUAUUAUCCAAGGUCACAUAGGUCACAUAGCAUCGAUUCAAAUUCAGUCUAACUCCAGAGCCCAAGACUUCAUCUGUUAUUAUUAAUUACCUCCGUUUGUCGCAUCUCAGUGGAAACCGUCUCUCUUUUUUUAGCUGCUUGACUCCCACUUUAGGAGCUGAAAACUCCACACAUUUUUUAGCCUCCCUUGCAGCUAGGAUGCAGGUAUGUGACCCAGGCUUGACUAAAUGGAUGUACCUGCUAUUGCCUUUGAACUGGGAGCUGGUAACAGAUAGAAUCAGAGACAGCAGCAAAUCCAGAGGCACGGAGGUGGAGCAGCACAUUCAAAGUCCUGUGUCUGUGGCUGCCAGUCAACCUGUGAUAUCUGUGUUUAGCGUGAGGGGAGUGAUGGUGGUUUCCCCAUUAGAUGGGUUAAGUGGUGUGAUUUUAGUUGUCCACCUGCUGCCUAGCUUCCCUUGUCUGGCCUCCUUUUCUAAGCCUGGUUCCAACACUGUUGAAAUGCCUUGAGCUAUUGAACAACACAGCAACACAUGCUUUUCUCUGCUUAAAUCAGCUAGAGUUAUUUUCUGUUGCUUGCGGUAAACAACUCUGACUGGUAUAAUAUCCAAACUCAUUAUCUUGAAUAUAAGACUCUCACAUACAUUAUUCUUACCUGGAAGAAAAAAAACACACAAGUAACCAGAAUUUUGUGAAUGUUCAACAGAGCAGAGGGUGAAUGUGACAGAUUGUGUAUCAUUAGGAACAAUUUCUAGUUUAUCCAUCUGACUACUUACUUAUGAUUCAUAUGGCAAUUUGCAUGGAUGGUUAUAGGACUUUUUAGUAUAUUCUUACAAAACUCACGUCCAAAAAAGGACUUUUACCUUCCAGUAUAAUCUGACUCUGGGCUUUAUAAAUUUCAUAAUAAAUUUUCCCUUUGAAUGAUCAGAAAGAAAAAUGCUAAAUAUCUUUCUGGCUCAUUAUAGGCAAAAUGGCUUCCUGAAAUUGUAGUAGUUAAAAAAUAAGAUCACAGAGGAAGUUGAAUUGCUGAAUUAUUUAAUGUAAGCUGACUCAUUAGAGCCUUAGCUUCUGAGAUGGAAGAAAAUAUGAUAGUUUACAUAAAGGUUACUGAUAAAUUCCAAGAUGAAAUUCACUUUGAAGGGAGUAGAAUGUUGCUGGGAGUAACUAAUCCCUGUGGCAUAAUGCAAUGAAGGAGUUGAGUUUACAGUUUGACAGGGGGUUAUGAUUACAAGGCAUUUCUGAAUUGCGGGAGAGGCCACUGCUUCAGAUGGUCAAGUGGUCUACUGAGAUGUCAGAUAUUAGACAGGAAUAAACUUUACAGAGGCCAAGGCUUUGACCUUAGUAAGUCUAGACAUGCUAAUGUAAUUAUCAUCACUCUAAUCAGAUUAUAAAGUAAACACAUGCUCUAUAAAGCAAAGAAUCUCAUGGGGUUGUUAUUUAGAAGAUGAAGAAAAGCUGCUUCCCAUCUCUCUUGGGAAAGCAACGGGAAGCAAAUGAGUGGUUGCAGCAUGAGGGAUGUUGGUUUGAUCAGUGGUUCUCAACUGGGGAUGAUUUGGCAAUAUGUGGAGACAUUUUUGGUCUAUUACAACUGUGGGGGUGGGGAGGCAUCUGGCAUUGCUACUGGCAUUGAGUGGGGAGAUGUCAGGGUUGCUGCUGAACAUCCUGCCAUGCACAGGACACCCCUAUAACUAAAGAAUUAUCUGGCCCCAAAUGUCAAAAGUGCUGAGGCUGGGAAACUCUGGGCUAGAAGUAAGAAAUAACUUUUUGAAUCUGAAGUGAUGUAAAUAUAAGAAUAAGGUUAUAGGCCCAGGACUACUACGGACCAUGUGAAACACCUGCUUCAGGGAACAAAAUUUGAAAGAGUGCCCCACAUCUCAGUAAUAAAGAAAAAUAAUAUUUAAAAACUCAAAUUCAAUGCAAAAAAAUCCAUGGUGGACAAUCUAUCAAAAUUUUAAAUAAAGACAGGAUUCAACAGAGAUAGGAUUACGGUAGGGAAGUUAAAAUGUUAUUUAUCUUGAUUACUGAAGCUGUGGGCACCCCCUACCUUAAAUUUUGUGCUCGAGGUAAGUGCCUCAGCUGCUUCACACUAGCCCUGGCCUGUUGGAUCAUCAAUGGCAGAACACCAUUUUAGCUAAAAGGUAAUUUGGCUUGAUUAUUACAAAUGAGGGGUGUUCAAGCCUGGUGAAAGUAAAUGAGAAGAUUCAGCUGUAGAAUUUUAGACUUUAGUGAAUAUAUUAAGUAAGGAAGCAACCCCCAUGUUGAGCUGCAUAGAAAUUCCCUAAUACGGGUUUUUAAUCUCUGCGAUUUAUAGCCUGGCUUUGAUUAUCCAAGAUUAUCUUCAUUAUGAGUGGUAAUGUAUGGCUGGCAUCCCAAAGAGACAUGUGGCAUUAACCGUGGUCUGUAUCAAUACGUUUCUGCUACAACUCAGCCUUCCAGAAAAAUAACCACUGUAUGACUCUUCCAUUUUACUUACCAAGUAAACCAUUACUUCUCAUCCUCUCCUCUCCACAAUCCCACUUCACCUCAAAACCAAUUUAGCAUUCUUUUCUGCGUCCUAUUGAUAUUGACAUUAUUUUAUAUUACUUGCACCCUCCCCCCUAAAAUGCCUUAUAUGGAUUUUUUAAGGGGAGGAUUUUUCCUCCCCUUAAAAUUUAACUCAAAAUAUUUUUCCUUCUAAUAAAUUGGGGAAAUUGUCUAAGUUCUAAGUUUCUGUAUGGGGGAUAUAGAGUACUUAUAAAAUAAUGCUGACCCCCUCAGAAAUGCCAGAUAAAAGUUUCAAAGAUAAUUUACUAUUCUGGGCAGGGCAGCAUAGACAGUUAUAAAAAAUUACGGUAAUAUUACUAAUUAGGAGAAAUGUAGUCUUGGAUCUAUACCAGAACAAACAGUCUAACCAUCAUAGAUUGCCUUCCAUUAAUUUCCAUCUAUGAGUGUCUAGCCUAUUAGAGUGCCUGCAUUCAGCAAAUGUGGUUGUACAUAAAGUAACUAGAUAUGGGACCUACCACUUACCACAUCUUAUCACUGAAUCUAACUGACAUAUGUAUGAUUGCUUUUGAUCUAUGCUAUCUUUAUCUCAAUGCAAAUCUCAGCUUCCUAUCUGCUAUUUUAAAAAAUGCUUUCAUCAAAGAAUAGCAACAGGUUGGGCUGAAUUAUAGGGUUUGAGUUUAGCAUUUUUUUAAAAUUCUGUUAGAAACAAAGCAACAUCAAACAUGGGCUGCUUCUUUCAAACCGCAUAGUCAUUGCUAUCUUGAUGAGCUAAUUUGUGCUUAUUUCUUAAAAAGAAGAGGGAGGGAAAAAGUGUUAGAUGGGUAGAUAAAGAAUAAUUCUAAUUUAAUUUAUAUUACCAAAGCUAGACAUAUCCAAAUGUUCUCUCUCUCUCUUUUGGUACAGAGGUGAAUGGGAGUCUGCUUAAUGCUUAAGCAAAAAGUACACUUGAUUGUUUCAGAUUUAGGACUUUUCUGAGCUGCUUGGAUAUACAAGGCCAUAAUUACCUUGCAGUGGAAAAUUCAAAUCCACCAGGACAGGCCAGUGUUGAGUAUGAAGUGGAAAGAGUGUUGCCCUGGGGUAGAAGUCCUGCCGUUCCUUUGGGAUUAUGCAUUUUGACCAAGGACAGGUCAUAGAAUAUAAGUUCUAUGUUCCUAGGUUUUCUUUUUCACAAAAUGAUGAUAAAAAUGCUUAGAAGUUCCUUUGCAAUAAACUGUCCACAUGAAUAUUAGAUUUGUGAGCUACGUUUUGUUCUAUAGCAGAAAAGAAAUUAUGUACCCUGGAGAAUUUUAGUUAGAUCUUCGGAAAGAAUGGAUGGAAAAUUGAAACUAAAUGGGGUGUGUAUUCUCUUUUCUAUAUUGAUGUUCUCUAAACAAAUGUUAUAACACCUAUUUUAUUUAAUCUUACAAACAUAUACUGAACAAAUGAAGAAGUCAGUGAAUAAAUCAAGAGAGCACUGCAAAUACUAAGAAUCGUUUCAUAAAACUUUGGUCUUAGUCAUACAUAAAGUCUAGGCCACGUGUAUAUCUUACUGUGGUUUCUGCUAGUCACUGCUGAUGAGAGUGUCAUAUAACAAUUUGAAUAGAAACAUAUAAUUACUUAAAUAAGCUAUUCAUCACAGAAGGCAUAAACAUAGCAUUUAAAUAUUUUCUUUUUAUCAUUCUACUCCCUGCAUUGCAAUAUAAUGUCAGCUGUUUAAAAACAACCCCCUCCAUUGCACUAUUUUGUUUGCUCUUGUGUGUAUUUGAAUUUUUUAUAAUAAAAAUGU